rnacentral:rRNA from 1 species
UACGCACGCUGGCGGCGUGCUUAACACAUGCAAGUCGAACGGAAAGGCCCUGCUUUUGUGGGGUGCUCGAGUGGCGAACGGGUGAGUAACACGUGAGUAACCUGCCCUUGACUUUGGGAUAACUUCAGGAAACUGGGGCUAAUACCGGAUAGGAGCUCCUGCUGCAUGGUGGGGGUUGGAAAGUUUCGGCGGUUGGGGAUGGACUCGCGGCUUAUCAGCUUGUUGGUGGGGUAGUGGCUUACCAAGGCUUUGACGGGUAGCCGGCCUGAGAGGGUGACCGGCCACAUUGGGACUGAGAUACGGCCCAGCCUCCUACGGGAGGCAGCAGUGGGGAAUAUUGCACAAUGGGCGGAAGCCUGAUGCAGCAACGCCGCGUGCGGGAUGACGGCCUUCGGUUUGUAAACCGCUUUCGCCUGUGACGAAGCGUGAGUGACGGUAAUGGGUAAAGAAGCGCCGGCUAACUACGUG